rnacentral:rRNA from 1 species
UACGGGGGGGGCAAGCGUUGUUCGGAAUUACUGGGCGUAAAGGGCUCGUAGGUGGCCAACUAAGUCAGACGUGAAAUCCCUCGGCUUAACCGGGGAACUGCAUCUGAUACUGGAUGGCUUGAGUUUGGGAGAGGGAUGCGGAAUUCCAGGUGUAGCGGUGAAAUGCGUAGAUAUCUGGAGGAACACCGGUGGCGAAGGCGACAUCCUGGACCGGCAUUGACGCUGAGGCGCGAAAGCCAGGGGAGCAAAGCGGG